GGUAACUUACUCUGUAUUUGUUCACGGUGGUCACCCCAGGGUCUCAGGACUCAAAACGAGUGCUCUAUGGAUUGAACAUAAAAUGUAGAUCAACACUCCAACCAUCUGCAUUAGGGACUGAAUAAAGGAUGCCCUCUGUAGCUGGGAAUGUUAGAUCAGGCGGAUCAACAUUCCAUCCAUCUGCAUUAGGAUCUACCUUAGAGACACUCACUGGAGCUGUAAAUGGGAAGCAGGUCACUUACUUUGCAUUCGUCCUUGGUGGUCACCCAAGGGUCUCUAGAGUGAAAAUUACUCAAUCUAUGGAUUAAACAGAAAAUUUAGUUGUAUGAAGUGCAAUUUGGGACAUUCUUCCAGUUGUCGGCAACUUUGUGAAAAAGGCUGGAAACUUAAAUGCAGAAUUCUGGCCUGGUGUUUGGUCUGUGCUGUCUUUGGCUCUUGCAUCUCCAUCAUCCUGACCCUCUUUAGCAGCCUGUCCAUGUAUUUAUUUGGAGGCCACCAUGAGCACCCAUCUGCAUAAUAUGACUUUGUUACU